rnacentral:lncRNA from 1 species
GUUAUGUUUUGCUGUGGGUCAGCUCCUGAGAAUAUCUUCCAUGACUCUGCAGAAGCAAAGCACUUAAAAGAGAAUUUCUGUGCCAAGUGGAUAAAUGCAGCCAGAUGUUACGGACUGGUUGGGAGUUCAGCACUAGGAAACAACAAAACAAUACAGAGACUGCACACAAUGAACCUUCACUCAGAUAGUUGGCUUCUCCUGAACAUCCCUAAUCCGUGAGGUGCUGAUCAGCGAUGGCUGAGUUUGCAAGCAAUGAGAGCCCUUGUUAGGAAUGGUUUUCGUCAUCUCCCAGCACAAUGAAGAGAUUGCUGCCACACAAUGCACUCAUCACUCGGCAUUGUCCUUUCCCAGCAAAGAACCCAUCUGAAGAUGUUCUCUUGUUUUUCUGAUUGUGGAAUGUCUGAGACCAGAACAGAAUGGUACCAGAUUGGUUUGAUCACAGGGAUGUCCCAAGGGAAAUUCCCACCUGCCCUGUGCCCGCUGAACAGAGAAUUGCUCAGGAGCCUCUCAGCAAGCUUUGCUCCCUGUUUUCUGGGCAGUGUAAAUGACCUGGAGCACACUAAAGCCCUCAGCAGCCAGGGCACUGAUGCCAGCAGGGAGGAAAUGCCCACACGUUCAGCACCAACACUUCAGGAGGAAAUAGCUGAGGAGAGCUGAGCCAACACCCUGCUGAAGAGUUCCACACGUGUUUCUUCCCCCUCAGCUCCUGCAUCUCCUGUACUCAGCAGAUGUUAAGGUCAGGUGAUCAAUUAUGAAAAAUAAAAAUUCAAAUAUUUACA